CAAGAGGGGGAUAACAUUCUGAAAAGAAUGCUAAUACCGCAUGAUAUAUUGGAACCACAUGGUUCUGAUAUCAAAGAUUUUAUCGCUUGAAGAUGGACUCGCGUCCGAUUAGUUAGUUGGUGAGGUAACGGCUCACCAAGACCGCGAUCGGUAGCCGGACUGAGAGGUUGAACGGCCACAUUGGGACUGAGACACGGCCCAGACUCCUACGGGAGGCAGCAGUGGGGGAUAUUGCGCAAUGGGGGCAACCCUGACGCAGCAACGCCGCGUGAAGGAUGAAGGUUUUCGGAUUGUAAACUUCUUUUAUUAAGGACGAAAAAUGACGGUACUUAAUGAAUAAGCUCCGGCUAACUACGUGCCA
rnacentral:rRNA from 1 species